rnacentral:lncRNA from 1 species
UUUUUUUUUUUUUUUCUAGAUUGUUUAUGUAUCCACAAGGACCACAAGACAAAUAGCUUAAUUUAAUCUGACGCAUAAUAUGGGUGCGAUUGGCAAAACAUUUCAUUUAAGUUUUUUUCAUAUAAAUAUAAAUAAAGCAUUUCUUAAUUAAGAUGACAGCAUUUAGAACAUGUUUGUGAGUGUGUCCAUUAUAUUUAGUCUCCAUAUUAUAUAAUUAUUAAGUAACUACAAAAACGCCAUCAGAAAUUAUUAUUUUUAAUUAAGACACGAGUAGAAUUAAAUUUUUAAUUAAUUUAUAAAAAUUCCUAAAAUACUUUUUGUUCCACAAAGUUUUAUUUGAAAAAAUUGUAAGUUUUAGUAAUAUUGGUUUUGAGUUUAUGUGACUGCAUGCGCUACCAUUUUAUAUAAUUUUUUUAACAUUUUUUUUUCUUUUUAUACAUGCGGAUUUGAACUCGUAUCGAUAAAACUGAUUGUAUACACUAUUUUGUCACAUGUUCCGAUGAUACAAUUGUUUAAACUUUAAACAACAGAAUAAUUUAUUGAAACUGUAUUAUUAUUCUACUUUACCAAAAGAAAACAAUACUAUUUAAAUUAUAUUAAGCACAAAACCCCUAGCUAGCAAGUAGCAACCACACCG